rnacentral:rRNA from 1 species
CCUACGGGAGGCUGCAGUGAGGAAUAUUGGUCAAUGGGCGCGCGCCUGAACCAGCCAAGUAGCGUGAAGGAUGACUGCCCUCCGGGUUGUACACUUCUUUUAUAAAGGAAUAAAGUGAGGCACGUGUGCCUUUUUGUAUGUACUUUAUGAAUAAGGAUCGGCUAACUCCCUGCCCGCGGCCGCGGUAAUACGGAAGGUCCGGGCGUUAUCCGGAUUUAUUGGGUUUAAAGGGGGCGUAGGCCGCAUGUCAAGCGUGCUGUGAAAUGUCCGGGCUCAACCCGGGCCUUGCAGCGCGAACUGGCGUGCGUGAGUCCGCGGAAAGCAGGCGGAAUUCGUCGUGUAGCGGUGAAAUGCUUAGAUAUGACGAAGAACCCCGAUUGCGAAGGCAGCUUGCUGCAGCGGAACUGACGCUGAUGCUCGAAAGCGCGGGUAUCGAACAGGAUUAGAUACCCUUGUAGUC